GCCAGUAGGCCUGUCCUGGGUGUUUUUUCUCCUUCAUUUGCCUUUGUUUAUUCCAAAGCAGCUCCAUCUCUUCCCCAGGUACAACUGCUCUGCUAGAGGCAAAACCCUAACAACUGCGUUCCUGCCCGUGCUAACGACAGUCCUUUCACCGAGCCUCACUGAAGCUAGUGGAAAACCCGCACCAACAAAACCGAGGAACAAAUCCAGAGGGUAGACAACGUGGGAAUAACUGCAUGGAGCUCAGAUUCCAUUUCUCAGCUUCUGGAACAACAAGAGACACACAGGGAAGUCAGAACCUUUGAAGGCCAAUGCCACUCCCUUCACCCACCUCCACCACGAAGUAGCACUUUUGGGAAUUCUUCCAUCUCAGAAGAGCUUUGUCAUCUCUUACAUCAGUUGGAGCUGGCAGCUCUCAAAUCCAUCUUCUGCACCCCAGAAGUUCCGUGGGACACUCCCUGA
rnacentral:lncRNA from 1 species